rnacentral:rRNA from 1 species
ACAAGCAGUGGGAGCACCUUCGUGGUGUGACUGCGUACCUUUUGUAUAAUGGGUCAGCGACUUAUAUUCUGUAGCAAGGUUAACCGUAUAGGGGAGCCGAAGGGAAACCGAGUCUUAACUGGGCGUUAAGUUGCAGGGUAUAGACCCGAAACCCGGUGAUCUAGCCAUGGGCAGGUUGAAGGUUGGGUAACACUAACUGGAGGACCGAACCGACUAAUGUUGAAAAAUUAGCGGAUGACUUGUGGCUGGGGGUGAAAGGCCAAUCAAACCGGGAGAUAGCUGGUUCUCCCCGAAAGCUAUUUAGGUAGCGCCUCGUGAACUCAUCUUCGGGGGUAGAGCACUGUUUCGGCUAGGGGGCCAUCCCGGCUUACCAACCCGAUGCAAACUACGAAUACCGAAGAAUGUUAUCACGGGAGACACACGGCGGGUGCUAACGUCCGUCGUGAAGAGGGAAACAACCCAGACCGCCAGCUAAGGUCCCAAAGUCAUGGUUAAGUGGGAAACGAUGUGGGAAGGCACAGACAGCCAGGAUGUUGGCUUAGAAGCAGCCAUCAUUUAAAGAAAGCGUAAUAGCUCACUGGUCGAGUCGGCCUGCGCGGAAGAUGUAACGGGGCUAAACCAUG